GAUGAACGCUAGCGGCAGGCUUAACACAUGCAAGUCGAGGGGUAUAGUUCUUCGGAAUUAGAGACGGGCGCACGGGUGCGUAACGCGUAUGCAAUCUACCUUUCACAGAGGGAUAGCCCCAGAGAAAUUUGGAUUAAUACCUCAUAGUAUAGCAGUUUCGCAUGAAACCACUAUUAAAGUCACAACGGCAAAAGAUGAGCAUGCGUCCCAUUAGCUAGUUGGUAAGGUAACGGCUUACCAAGGCUACGAUGGGUAGGGGUCCUGAGAGGGAGAUCCCCCCACACUGGUACUGAGACACGGACCAGACUCCUACGGGAGGCAGCAGUGAGGAAUAUUGGACAAUGGGCGC
rnacentral:rRNA from 1 species